UCUUCCAUCUAGAAGGAUAGAAAAGCAACAAGUCUCAUAUUACAGACAAUACUCUCACUGCAUACAGGUUCAGAAUCAAAACAGUAAGUUGGGGUCCACAAUCUGUGAGGCACAAAUGAAUGUUCACACACCAUUACAUUCAUUCACUAUCACAAAAGAGAGCUAGCAGCAGUGCUUACAGGGCGUACAACAAAGCACACAAAGUAAAGCCAUGAUUUUCCAGUGCACAAAGGACAAAUUAAAACCAGGUUUCCUUCAAUAAAAUGAAAUUUCUCCUAUUAAGCAAAUUCCCUAUCAUCAAGAUUUAGGGUUCUCAUUGCAAAGAUAAGUCUCAUUUUGCACCUCCAAACUAAUUGGAAACUUUCUACAAUUAUGAGUCCUCACUGAAUAAAACACAGAAUUUUCCUCAUUUCUAUGUAUUUUCUGUCUUAGAACUAUUAGUUAUUUCAGUGAAAAGUACAUACGUAAAAAAUAAAUAGAAUUUUUUGGUUUCAAGGGUACAAUAAGUUUAUGUAAAGAUAGCUAGCUUUUCACAAUAGCUUUGCCUAUAAUACAGGGGAGGAGAAAAUACUCACAAUGAGUGUUCUUUUAUUCAAAAGAAAAUUCCUAAUAGUUUUGUAUUAAUGGUUCUUAGGGUACUAGCCUGAUUUAAUAUUUGAAGUCUGUUAAAAGUAAUAGAUAUCUGUAUAAUUUUCCUCUCUGUAAACAAUCAAGCUACCAUGGAUCACACCCAGGAAUAUAGCUCAAUGCAGCUCAAAACCAAGAUGUAUUCAAAAGUCAUAGGAGACCUCAGGAGGUGUAUGUGGGCACAUGUUCUUCAUGCAGCUCACUGCUCAUUUAAGCAAUUGUCAUUUCCCCCUGGCCUUUGGUUGAGGCACAGCAUUUCUUCUUUUUUCCUUUGAUACUGAUCGUAAGGAAAUAAAUCACAGUAUGUGAAAUGACAAUCUGAUGGGUAAGAAACCUGGAAGCUCAGAGAGGUGAACUUUGGUUAGGCCAUGUAGGAAGCAGUGCUAAGGACAGCAUUUGACAGUCCAUUAUCUCCCCUUUCUUCGUCCACCUGAUUGGAGAGUGGCUUGCAGCAAAGACUACCUGACCAACAUAGCCUGCUAUCACUGUGAUCUUGCGGAGAUGAAUGUCAAACUUACUGUUUUGUUACAUGAUUAUGGAGCCUGAAAUCUCUAGUUUAUGAUCUUUUUACCGCAUUCUUUUUUUGUGGCUUCAUUUAAGUCAACACAAUAUGUAAAAUAUGAUUUCAUAAAAAUAUUAUUAUUCUCAAUGCAAAAGUUACCUUUACUUGACAAAAUGAUGUUCUUUAAAUAAUGAACUUUCCUAUUGUCUUAGAGUUAACUGGCUAUUCAAAUAUAUAAUGAAUACCCAGUGUUUUCAGAGAAGCACAGACAGAUAAAAGGUGAUAAACAUAUUUGGCUCAACCAAAGGUGAAGACAAAUCUUCAAGAUUGUUUUAGUUUUUGUUUUAAACAUAAAAUUUAGAUGACUAACACUUAAACUCAUCUGUAUAUUCAUCUAUAAUUCUUAUAACUGUAAUUCAAAGUAGAAUAUUUCAAAAAUCUUGAAGAUAAUAAUAAAUUCAAAAGAUUUGGUAAAACUUUAGAACAGUUCAAAAUUGUAAACUCACAGAGUUCCAUAAGAGGUUAAGUGGUGUUUUGUCCAAAAUAUUGAUUUGAUCAAGUGAAUGUAGAGAUUAGAAACCUUGAGAAUAAAAAAGACUU